AGGUGUUUAUUUUGGAUGGUCCGGAGAUUUUGGCUGCAACUAUGUUGGACAGAGAUAUGCUUGCUAUUGCUGUAAAUUGGUACCAUGUCGGUUGGUUUUGCUUGAUUUGUGACGAUGCGUCGGACAAACAACAUUGGGAAAAUAUACAGCCUUGAGCCUUGAUGACCAAUGUAUAUCUCUAUUUGAGGAAUUCUCCAAAGAUCCAGAGCCGAUUGUUUCAUAGAGCUGUGAAGUUGCGUUAAACAUACUGGAUUUUGAAUGAUCCGACAAACCAUUCGAGGUACUUGGAAGAUUAAGUCUCUUAUCUGGGUGGUUGUUACAGGUUUAGGAUGUUAAAUGAUUUUGGAUGUACUCUGCGAUGUCGAUGAUGCAGAGAUGUUGGUGAAGCUCAGGUUAACAACUUCAUGUGUAUA